GAUGGCGACCGGCGCACGGGUGAGUAACACGUAUCCAACCUGCCGUCUACUCUUGGACAGCCUUCUGAAAGGAAGAUUAAUACAAGAUGGCAUCAUGAGUCCGCAUGUUCACAUGAUUAAAGGUAUUCCGGUAGACGAUGGGGAUGCGUCCCAUUAGAUAGUAGGCGGGGUAACGGCCCACCUAGUCUUCGAUGGAUAGGGGUUCUGAGAGGAAGGUCCCCCACAUUGGAACUGAGACACGGUCCAAACUCCUACGGGAGGCAGCAGUGAGGAAUAUUGGUCAAUGGGCGCAGGCCUGAACCAGCCAAGUAGCGUGAAGGAUGACUGCCCUAUGGGUUGUAAACUUCUUUUAUAAAGGAAUAAAGUCGGGUAUGUAUACCCGUUUGCAUGUACUUUAUGAAUAAGGAUCGGCUAACUCCGUGCCAGCAGCCGCGGUAAUACGGAGGAU
rnacentral:rRNA from 1 species